AUUACGGAUGUGCGUCUUUACGUCAAGGUCGUGAUUCUACAUAACAACAUCCGCUUGACCUCGCAAUGCCAUGAAGAAGAAAGGCGUGGAACAUUUGCUUAAGAUCUUCAGCAGAUGUUUGAGAAAAAAAAUCAUCAUCCUCUUCGUCACUCUUCAUCCGUAUUUGGGGUAACAAACACCUGCUUCCCACAAGAGACUGGACCUCUGAAGUCAGAUAAUUUUACUGGUACAAUGUUGGAUGGAUCAUCAGACCUGCACCUUCCUUGAACAUGUUGGUAACUUACUCUGUAUUUGUUCACGGUGGUCACCCCAGGGUUUCAGGACUCAAAACGAGUGCUCUAUGGAUUGAACAGAAAAUGUGGAUCAACACUCCAACCAUCUGCAUUAGGGACUGAAUAAAGGAUGCCCUCUGUAGCUGGGAAUGUUAGAUCAGGCGGAUCAACAUUCCAUCCAUCUGCAUUAGGAUCUACCUUAGAGACACUCACUGGAGCUGUAAAUGGGAAGCAGGUCACUUACUUUGCAUUCGUCCUUGGUGGUCACCCAAGGGUCUCUAGAGUGAAAAUUACUCAAUCUAUGGAUUAAACAGAAAAUUUAGUUGUAUGAAGUGGUAUGUUGUCUUUAAAUGCCAUUAAAAAUGUGUUUCUGUUUUCUGUCUCAUAUUAAGAAAUACUCUUUAACCUGCCCACUGGAGCUGGGAAUGCAAUUUGGGACAUUCUUCCAGUUGUCGGCAACUUUGUGAAAAAGGCUGGAAACUUAAAUGCAGUUUAACUGAUUCUGCUUACCUGACUCAUGCAGAAUUCUGGCCUGGUGUUUCUGUGCUGUCUUUGGCUCUUGCAUCUCCAUCAUCCUGACCCUCUUUAGCAGCCUGUCCAUGUAUUUAUUUGGAGGCCACCAUGAGCACCCAUCUGCAUAAUAUGACUUUGUUACUCAGAUGUCCAUGCGCUCCUACAAAUUCUACAUUUUUUGUAAAGCUGCAACAAGUUGAAACCCUAUAAUUAUUAACGUUUGAUUUUGAACUAUGUAAUUCAAAUACAUGAAUAAGUAACAAAAGCAGAAAUUUAUUAAGAUAUUACCUUUUUGUUGCUUGUUUACUGAUCUAUCAAUCCUUUUGCAUUUUCAUAAUUGUUCAUCAUAACUUGGUAUACAGUGGAUGUGUGGCUGCAGAUAACUUUCUGAAGUCAAUUUAAAAAGACAAAAGUUAAUAAAUGCUGAAUUGGUCAAAUAUACAUUGUUGUAUUUUCACCAUUUUGAUGUUUAGGCAUUUCAUAACUUGAGGGUUAAUUCACGUAUAGUGAUGUUUCAAAUCAAAGAUUAAUUUAUUAAUGACAGCUAAUCAUUUUAUAAAGAUUUUUAUUACAAUAUUUAUUUAAUAUCAAUUUAAUACAUUUAAUUCGUUACACCUACAUUACUGAGCGCAAGGGAGUGCAGCCAACAAAUACAUUCAGGUGUGUUCGACUUAACACCGAGAUGCGCAGACAGCACGUGGUAUGACAUCAAAGUACCGCGAGAGUUUGGGAAAGCCCCGGAAAAGGUUUGAUCUCGCGGUACUUGAUGUCACGAUCGGUUUGCGUGUAGAUCAGCAUGAAGUAGAACACAUCUGAAAGAUGUGUGGGCUGCCUGCACUCAACGUUGCGAUAAUUCAGUAGAGUGUAACCUCAAUCGGUUUUUGCAGCUUCUGGGUGUCGUGUCGAACGAUCGCAGAACGAUUUUUUGUUCUUUUCCAACUCGAUUUUUAACUCCCUAGACUAGUAGGAUGUUCCAACGGGUGAAGCAACAGUGCUGACGGCAGAGUUUCAGUGUCAAUUUUUCAUGCCAUGAUCACUGGGGCGGAAACCAUUAUGACGUUGCCUUGGACAUCAAACUAAACCAUCUCAUUCUGGCUUUUUUCUAACAUCGAAAUCUCAGAAGGCCAGGACUAAGAUGGACGCAGCCUCCACAUGCAACCUUGCAUUUGAGGAACACCCAUAGAACGGUCAACUUACCCCAUACUCUAACCUGAAUGCAGGGAUCAUAAAACUUUAUCUUUUACCUUAAUUGUUAGAUGGGUGUUGAUACCAAACUUUUUUGUCUCGUCUACCCAGGAGAAAGUCAUGGGUUCUGCUGCUGAGGUUGUCAUAAAGCAUGCUUUUUCCAUUUGUUGCAUUGGGCAAUAUUAUCAAAAGAUUCUGAAAGAAAUAAGAUAAUUUUCAAAGCAUUAACAUGAAUAUGAAAGCAUUAAGUCAUUAAUGAUCAUCUUUUAUUAUUGUUUAUUUAUAGUGUCUUUUAUUCUGCUUACCUGACUCAUGCAGAAUUCUGGCUUGAUGUUUGGUCCACCUGUUAGCUGGCUCUGGUGCUUGGUAGUCUUCUCAAACCUCUGAAUCAAGGCCACCAUGAGAGGCCUUCUGAAGACCAUCAUUACGCUUCAGAUCCAGUUGUCUUAACUAUGAGCCUACCACAAUCCCUGUGCACCAGCUAUGGAAAGUGCAGACCAAACUUCUACCUCCACCUAUAGAACUGAACUGGAGUCUGUGAACUAAUGCUGUGUUCGAGACAACUGGAACAGCAAACAAAGUUGAGUAUCCGACCUCUCAACUUGUGACUGAUCGAUCAGCACCAACCUCAACGAGAUGCAUCAUUUGACAUUGCAGACAAAUCCUUUCUCUUUUUAAUGCAGCACUUAAGGAUGAACCACCCUGAUCUACUAAGAUGCACAGAUUCAACUCUGGCCCAGCAUCAUCCCCACACCUCAUCUGCCAUCAGUUUAAUUUAAUGUCUGUCAAUUGCAAAUGCUAUUUAUUUCAGUUAUAUUACAACUUAAUGUUAACUUUAAUUGAGACUAGUAUUGUGUAAAGCUGGGGUUUCCAAACUUUUCAUUUCAAAACCUAUUAGACAAGUGUAAUCUAUUCUAGACCCACUAAAAUAUUUUUACAUAUACAUUUUUUUAAUGGGGUAAAACACAUUUGUUCUCUUUCAGUGGAGUCAUUUUAUUUUCAUAAUAUUUCAUAAUGUAAAGCAGUGGUUCUUAACGUUAUUCCUCGAGGCCCACUGCUCUGCACAUUUUGUAUGUCUCUUUUAUCUGACAGACUCAGUUCAGUUCAUUGAGAUCUCUUCUAAUGAGCUGAUGAUUUGAAUCAG